GACGAACGCUGGCGGCGUGCUUAACACAUGCAAGUCGAACGGAAAGGCCCUGCUUUUGUGGGGUGCUCGAGUGGCGAACGGGUGAGUAACACGUGAGUAACCUGCCCUUGACUUUGGGAUAACUUCAGGAAACUGGGGCUAAUACCGGAUAGGAGCUCUUGCUGCAUGGUGGGGGUUGGAAAGUUUCGGCGGUUGGGGAUGGACUCGCGGCUUAUCAGCUUGUUGGUGGGGUAGGGGCUUACCAAGGCUUUGACGGGUAGCCGGCCUGAGAGGGUGACCGGCCACAUUGGGACUGAGAUACGGCCCAGACUCCUACGGGAGGCAGCAGUGGGGAAUAUUGCACAAUGGGCGGAAGCCUGAUGCAGCAACGCCGCGUGCGGGAUGACGGCCUUCGGGUUGUAAACCGCUUUCGCCUGUGACGAAGCGGGAGUGACGGUAAUGGGUAAAGAAGCACCGGCUAACUACGUG
rnacentral:rRNA from 1 species